UUAAGUUCAGCGGGUAUCCCUACCUGAUCCGAGGUCAACCAUAGAAGGGGGUUCUGGCAGGCUACCGCCUAGCCCCAGAGCGAGAGCUGUACUACGCUUGGAGCCAGACGCUGCCGCCACUGUCUUUAGGGCCGGCCGCGAGCGGGCGGGGCCCAACACACAAGCCGGGCUUGAUGGGCAGUAAUGACGCUCGGACAGGC
rnacentral:misc_RNA from 1 species